rnacentral:rRNA from 1 species
UAUAACAAUCGAAACCGCAUGGUUUUGAUUUGAAAGGCGCUUUCGGGUGUCGCUGAUGGAUGGACCCGCGGUGCAUUAGCUAGUUGGUGAGGUAACGGCUCACCAAGGCCACGAUGCAUAGCCGACCUGAGAGGGUGAUCGGCCACAUUGGGACUGAGACACGGCCCAAACUCCUACGGGAGGCAGCAGUAGGGAAUCUUCGGCAAUGGACGAAAGUCUGACCGAGCAACGCCGCGUGAGUGAAGAAGGUUUUCGGAUCGUAAAACUCUGUUGUUAGAGAAGAACAAGGAUGAGAGUAACUGUUCAUCCCUUGACGGUAUCUAACCAGAAAGCCACGGCUAACUACGUGCCAGCAGCCGCGGUAAUACGUAGGUGGCAAGCGUUGUCCGGAUUUAUUGGGCGUAAAGCGAGCGCAGGCGGUUUCUUAAGUCUGAUGUGAAAGCCCCCGGCUCAACCGGGGAGGGUCAUUGGAAACUGGGAGACUUGAGUGCAGAAGAGGAGAGUGGAAUUCCAUGUGUAGCGGUGAAAUGCGUAGAUAUAUGGAGGAACACCAGUGGCGAAGGCGGCUCUCUGGUCUGUAACUGACGCUGAGGCUCGAAAGCGUGGGGAGCAAACAGGAUUAGAUACCCUGGUAGUCCACGCCGUAAACGAUGAGUGCUAAGUGUUGGAGGGUUUCCGCCCUUCAGUGCUGCAGCUAACGCAUUAAGCACUCCGCCUGGGGAGUACGACCGCAAGGUUGAAACUCAAAGGAAUUGACGGGGGCCCGCACAAGCGGUGGAGCAUGUGGUUUAAUUCGAAGCAACGCGAAGAACCUUACCAGGUCUUGACAUCCUUUGACCACUCUAGAGAUAGAGCUUCCCCUUCGGGGGCAAAGUGACAGGUGGUGCAUGGUUGUCGUCAGCUCGUGUCGUGAGAUGUUGGGUUAAGUCCCGCAACGAGCGCAACCCUUAUUGUUAGUUGCCAUCAUUCAGUUGGGCACUCUAGCAAGACUGCCGGUGACAAACCGGAGGAAGGUGGGGAUGACGUCAAAUCAUCAUGCCCCUUAUGACCUGGGCUACACACGUGCUACAAUGGGAAGUACAACGAGUUGCGAAGUCGCGAGGCUAAGCUAAUCUCUUAAAGCUU